GGGUGGUUAGCUCAGCGGUAGAGCACUACCUUGACAUGGUAGGGGUCACAGGUUCGAUCCCUGUACCACCCACCA
rnacentral:tRNA from 4 species